rnacentral:lncRNA from 1 species
CUAUAUGCCUUGAAAAUUAUAACAUUUCCUGAUAUAGAAGUCUAGAACAAGAGACAUGAACUAUGAAACUUAUUCAGUUUCUACCCUUGGAAGUGUCAUUAUUUUAAGAGAGCAUGAAAUUGGCCUUAUAUUCACCAACAACUCUUUUCUAGGAUAUUUUUGACUUGAGGCAAAUAUUUUGUGGAAUGGUUGACAGACUGUUAUUCUGGUCACUCAAUUAUGAAAGCAGACAAAAGUGAAAUUCAGGGCGGCAUCUAGAGGGGAGAAAAUCAAUGACUCAGGUAAGUUUACCAGCCACAGCUAAAGAGGGAGGUGCACACUGGAAAUCUGCAAGCAUCAUCUUCCCUCACCCAUGUCUCUUCUUCCAAGACACAUGUCCAACUCCAGACUUAAUGUGUUUGUUUGUGACUUCUCCCCUUAAAGGUUGCUUGGGUUUACUUGUACCGGUUUAAAAAUGUCCUCAUGAGUAACUGCCUUAUUCAGCAGCCCCAGCAUAAAUAAAUCUUGACUUCUACCGUUCUUGGCUAGAGACAACUCUAAGCCUGGAUGGCCUACUCAACCCAGCAGGUUGGUAGCGUGACAGGAGGCACAGUGUUACAAUAGCCACUAGAGCACCUCGACUCAAAUACCCAAAGCAGCAGUUUAAUGAUGGUAUUUUUUCCUUUAAAGGCAAUGAUAGCUAAGCAGCUGUUUUAUUCUUAGAGAAGUUCUAUGACAGGAAUUGGAAGAAGUGUUUCCUAUUUUGCAGCUAAAAAUGUGAUUAUUUGGAUUGAGGAUUGCUUACUGCUGUAAAUUUAAUGUUAAAGAAAUCAAGAAUGUUUCAUUUUAUCGUAUCUUCUGUCAAAGAAAAUGACAGAAAAUAUAAUAAAACUGCAGUUCAUGACCUUCGGUAAGCUAUGAAAUAAUUUAGGAGGUCAUGACUAGCAAACUUAUUUAUUAUACUCUAAGUACUAUAACUUUAUAAUAUCUUUGCUAAAAAAUCAUGUAAUGGAUAUUAAUUAUGUAUUAAGGACCAAAUCUGCAUUUUUCCUGAAAAUAAUGAACAAAAUCUAUGUAUUAUGUAACAGUCUAAAAUGUUUAAAAUUCAUAUUUUAAGUACUAAUGCAUAUUGAUUACAGAGAGUAAAAAGAAGAUUACACUUGCCCAUAAACCCAGCAGCUACAGACAAAUGGGCUAUUGUUAAUAUAUUGGUAAUUUUCUGUCCAUAUGCUCUUUCUCUGCAUAUAUAAAAAUAUAUGAUAUUUUUUCCUUUCAAAAUAGGGUGAUUCUAGUAAAUUUUUCACCCAUGCGUUGUCGACAUCUUUCCAUACCUAUAUAGUUCUACCACAUUAUUUUUAAUAAUGGCAUAUAUUCUGCAUUAUGAGUAUAUUAUAAUAUAUUUAACGAAACUGCUCAGUUUUGGAUAUUUAUAAACCAAUGUUUUUUAGUCUGCAGUUCAUGACCCUUAGUAGGCUAUGAAAUAAUUUAGGAGGUCAUGACUAGCAAUCUUAUUUAUUAUACCUUAAAUACUAUAGCUUUAUGGUGUGUUUCAUUAAAU